ACGGGAGGCAGCAGUGGGGAAUAUUGGACAAUGGGCGAAAGCCUGAUGCAGCAACGCCGCGUGAGUGAAGAAGUAUUUCGGUAUGUAAAGCUCUAUCAGCAGGGAAGAAAAUGACGGUACCUGACUAAGAAGCCCCGGCUAACUACGUGCCAGCAGCCGCGGUAAUACGUAGGGGGCAAGCGUUAUCCGGAUUUACUGGGUGUAAAGGGAGCGUAGGCGGCCAGACAAGUCAGAUGUGAAAACCCUGGGCUUAACCCGGGACCUGCAUUUGAAACUGUAGGGCUAGAGUACUGGAGAGGCAAGUGGAAUCCUAGUGUAGCGGUGAAAUGCGUAGAUAUUAGGAAGAACACCAGUGGCGAAGGCGACUUGCUGGACAGAGACUGACGCUGAGGCUCGAAAGCGUGGGGAGCAAACAGGAUUAGAUACCCUGGUA
rnacentral:rRNA from 1 species